CCUGGCACCGGUCAUCUGUCUGCUCAGUGAGUGGGAGGGCUGGUACCUUCUCUUGUUUCUGAGACCCAGGUAGCAAAGGAGUUUGAGUUUGCAGUUGGAAUCAAAGGCUCUCCAACAAGGAAACAACUAAUAAUCAUGGUAAAAUAAAGUCAGUGAAAUAAAAACUGAAAGAAGCUGCCACCAAGAGACCUGCACUAAAGGAAAUUCUGACAGAUAUUCUUUGGGUAAAGAGAAGAUCCCAGAUGAAAGCUUGGAGAUGAAGGAAAAAUUGAAGAGGAAUGAAAAUGGAAACAACACAGGUGUGUUCCUGCAAGACCUCUCUUUCCCUAGGGGAAAACAGAGACAUCUCAUCACAGAUAGCUCUAGGUUUGCCUUGGCCAUGAUGUCCAAGUGGUCUGCUUGGUUCCAUGCCUGCGUCUGAGCUGGCUCUGUGGGAGGUGCCAAGCUGCCUUCGACACUGUGCAUGGCACUUUAAAGCUCUCAAUAAAUAUUUUUCAAGUGAAGUCAAUGAAGCAAGAAAGAAUCUCAACUAGUUUUGAGGUAAUGGUUCAAGAUGACAUUCUUUCUCCCUAAGGCAAUAACUCUCAAAGCAGCGGUGGAGAAAAGCAACCACUUCUUGGCAGGGAGGGGAAUGAUUUUUUUUUUGCUGGGGGUCAGUCAUGGGAAAGGUGGCAAGGGGAGGAAGGUAAAUUUAAUUUGAAAAGUCAUGUCCAGUAUAAUUACUAUGUCAAAGACUGACAGUUUGGUCCUCAAUUUCUAACUAAGCACAUUGCUGCUGAGAAUAAGGACUAUAUUUUCCAAUUAUGUGUGGCCAUGUGAUUAAGUUUUGGUGAAUGGAAUAUAAGUGGAAUUGUGUGGCAGCUUCUAGAAACUUUUCUUAAGUCAGCUGGCAUAUGCCUUUUGCCCCUUUCUUCUGUAUGCUGACCUGCUUCUUGGAUCACAGGUGUGAUAGAUGGAGUGAGAACGGGAUUUCUCAACCUCCACACCGUUCCCAUUUUGGGCUUAGAUAAUUCCUUGUUGCCAGGGGUUGUAGGACAUUUAGCAGCACCCCUGGCCUCUACUUUUUUGAUGCCAUUGCACCUCGUCCCCAUUAUGACAAUAAAAAUGUCUCCAGACAUUGUCAACUGUCCUUUAGGGGGGAAAUUAUCCCUGAUGAAGAGCCACUGAUCCAGAACCAUCUUAGACUGGGAGGUCCUCUUGGGAAAGAGGGAAAAAGCCUGGGUCCUCAACUACUUGGUGGGGCACCAGCCACAGACAGCCUGCCUCCAGAUUUUCCAAAUAGGAGAAAGAAAUUACCCACUAUUACUUUGAGUCUAUGCUAGUUGCAGUCAUACUUAAUUCUAAUUGGUUAAAUUGUCUGUAUUUUGAAAUACAAAAUAAAGCUCAAUAGAAUUUAUUCGGCAGCCAUAACAAAUGAAAUCAUGUCCUUUGCAGCAAUAUGGAUGGAAUUGGAGGGCAGUAUCCUUAGUGAACUAACUCAGGAAAUCAAAUACCACGUGUUUUCACUCAUAAGUGGGAGAUAAACAAUGGGUAAACAUGAACACAAAGAUAGAAAUAAUAGACAGUGGGGACUCCUGAAGGGGGGAGGUUGGGAGGAGGGCGAGGGUUGAAAAAUUACCCAUUGAGUACAAUGUUCACUAUUUGGGUAAAGGGUACAGUAGAAGCCCAAUCCCCACAAAUACAAAAUAUACUCAUGUAACAAACAUGCACAUGUACCCCC
rnacentral:lncRNA from 1 species